AGGCACGUAGCUCAGUUGGUUAGAGCACCACCUUAGCACCACCUUGACAUGGUGGGGGUCGUUGGUUCGAGUCCAAUCGCGCCUACCA
rnacentral:tRNA from 1 species